rnacentral:rRNA from 1 species
GCAACCUACGGGAGGCAGCAGUGGGGAAUAUUGCACAAUGGGGGAAACCCUGAUGCAGCGACGCCGCGUGAAGGAAGAAGUAUCUCGGUAUGUAAACUUCUAUCAGCAGGGAAGAAAAUGACGGUACCUGACUAAGAAGCCCCGGCUAACUACGUGCCAGCAGCCGCGGUAAUACGUAGGGGGCAAGCGUUAUCCGGAUUUACUGGGUGUAAAGGGAGCGUAGACGGCAGAGCAAGUCUGAAGUGAAAGCCCGCGGCCCAACUGCGGGACUGCUUUGGAAACUGCCCGGCUAGAGUGCUGGAGAG